UACGAAGGGGGCUAGCGUUGCUCGGAAUCACUGGGCGUAAAGCGCACGUAGGCGGAUUGUUAAGUCAGGGGUGAAAUCCUGGAGCUCAACUCCAGAACUGCCUUUGAUACUGGCGAUCUCGAGUCCGGGAGAGGUGAGUGGAACUGCGAGUGUAGAGGUGAAAUUCGUAGAUAUUCGCAAGAACACCAGUGGCGAAGGCGGCUCACUGGCCCGAUACUGACGCUGAGGUGCGAAAGCGUGGGGAGCGAACGAGGAUU
rnacentral:rRNA from 1 species